rnacentral:rRNA from 1 species
AUUGAACGCUGGCGGCAGGCCUAACACAUGCAAGUCGAACGAGUGGCGGACGGGUGAGUAAUGUCUGGGAAACUGCCCGAUGGCGGGGGAUAACUACUGGAAACGGUAGCUAAUACCGCAUACCAUCGGAUGAUCCCAGGUGGGAUUAGCUAGUAGGUGGGGUAACGGCUUACCUAGUCGACGAUCCCUAGCUGGUCUGAGAGGAUGACCAGCCACACUGGAACUGAGACACGGUCCAGACUCCUACGGGAGGCAGCAGUGGGGAAUAUUGCGCAAUGGGCGCAAGCCUGAUGCAGCCAUGCCGCGUGUAUGAAGAAGGCCUUCGGGUUGUAAAGUACUUUCAGCGAGGAGGCGGUACUCGCAGAAGAAGCACCGGCUAACUCCGUGCCAGCAGCCGCGGUAAUUC